AUGGCGAAGCAUCAUCCUGAUCUCAUCAUGUGCCGGAAGCAGCCUGGCAUUGCUAUUGGUCGCCUGUGUGAGAAGUGUGAUGGCAAGUGCGUCAUCUGUGACUCGUACGUGCGCCCAUGUACGCUUGUCCGGGUCUGCGACGAGUGCAACUACGGCUCGUUCCAGGGAAGGUGCGUCAUCUGCGGCGGAGUUGGCAUCUCAGACGCCUACUACUGCAAAGAGUGCACGCAGCAGGAGAAGGACCGAGAUGGGUGCCCCAAGAUUGUCAACCUUGGAAGCGCCAAGACCGAUCUCUUCUACGAGCGCAAGAAGUACGGUUUUAAGAAGAGAUGA
rnacentral:rRNA from 1 species